AUUGAACGCUGGCGGCAGGCUUAACACAUGCAAGUCGAGCGGGGGAGGUUGCUUCGGUAACUGACCUAGCGGCGGACGGGUGAGUAAUACUUAGGAAUCUGCCUAUUAAUGGGGGACAACAUCUCGAAAGGGAUGCUAAUACCGCAUACGCCCUACGGGGGAAAGCAGGGGAUCACUUGUGACCUUGCGUUAAUAGAUGAGCCUAAGUCGGAUUAGCUAGUUGGUGGGGUAAAGGCCUACCGAGGCGACGAUCUGUAGCGGGUCUGAGAGGAUGAUCCGCCACACUGGGACUGAGACACGGCCCAGACUCCUACGGGAGGCAGCAGUGGGGAAUAUUGGACAAUGGGGGGAACCCUGAUCCAGCCAUGCCGCGUGUGUGAAGAAGGCCUUAUGGUUGUAAACUUCUUUUGGACGGGGACAAACCGCUUCAUUUAUGGGGCGCUGAGGGUACCGUCAGAAUAAGCACCGGCUAACUCCGUGCCAGCAGCCGCAGUAAUAC
rnacentral:rRNA from 1 species